rnacentral:rRNA from 1 species
AUUGAACGCUGGCGGCAGGCUUAACACAUGCAAGUCGAACGAGCGGCGGACGGGUGAGUAAUGUAUGGGGACUGCCCGAUAGAGGGGGAUAACUACUGGAAACGGUAGCUAAUACCGCAUACUAUCGGAUAACCCAUAUUGGAUUAGCUAGUUGGUGCGGUAAUGGCUCACCAAGGCGACGACCCCUAGCUGGUCUGAGAGGAUGAUCGGCCACACUGUGACGUAGACACGGCCCAGACUCCUACGGAGGCAGCAGUGGGGAAUAUUGCACAAUGGGCGAAAGCCUGAUGCAGCCAUGCCGCGUGAAUGAAGAAGGCCCUAGGGUUGUAAAGUACUUUCAGUCGGGAGGCGUUACCGACAGAAGAAGCACCGGCUAACUCCGUGCCAGCCGCCGCGGUAAUAC